CCUUGAAGAGCCGGCGGACGGGUGAGUAAUGCCUAGGCAAUCUGCCUGGNUAGUGGGGGACAACGUUUCGAAAGGAACGCUAAUACCGCAUACGUCCUACGGGAGAAAGUGGGGGAUCUUCGGACCUCACGCUAUCAGGAUGAGCCUAGGUCGGAUUAGCUUGUAGGUGAGGUAAUGGCUCACCUAGGCAACGAUCCGUAACUGGUCUGAGAGGAUGAUCAGUCACACUGGAACUGAGACACGGUCCAGACUCCUACGGGAGGCAGCAGUGGGGAAUAUUGGACAAUGGGCGAAAGCCUGAUCCAGCCAUGCCGCGUGUGUGAAGAAGGUCUUCGGAUUGUAAAGCACUUUAAGUUGGGAGGAAGGGUUGUAGCUUAAUACGCUGCAACUUUGACGUUACCAACAGAAUAAGCACCGGCUAACUCUGUGCCAGCAGCCGCGGUAAUACAGAGGGUGCAAGCGUUAAUCGGAAUUACUGGGCGUAAAGCGCGCGUAGGCGGCUUGAUAAGAUGGGUGUGAAAUCCCCGGGCUUAACCUGGGAACUGCAUCCAUAACUGUCUGGCUAGAGUACAGUA
rnacentral:rRNA from 1 species